CCUACGGGUGGCAGCAGUAGGGAAUCUUGCACAAUGGGCGAAAGCCUGAUGCAGCGACGCCGCGUGAGUGAAGAAGGGUUUCGGUAUGUAAAGCUCUAUUAGUAGUGAAGAAAAUGACGGUACGUAACUAGGAAUCACCGGCUAACUACGUGCCAGCAGCCGCGGUAAUACGACGGGGGCAAGCGUUCUCCGGAUUUACUGGGGGUAAAGUGGGCGCAGGCGGCUCUGCAAGUCUGGCGUGAAAGGCGGGGGCCCAACCCGCGGACUGCACUGGAAACUGCAGAGCUGGAGUGCAGGAGAGGUAAGCGGAAUGCCCGGUGUAGCGGUGAAAUGCGUAGAUAUCAGGAAGAACACCAGUGGCGAAGGCGGCUUCCUGGCCUGCAACUGACGUUGAGGCUCGAAAGCGUGGGGAGCGAACAGGAUUAGAUACCCUAGUAGUC
rnacentral:rRNA from 1 species